rnacentral:rRNA from 1 species
UACGUAGGGGGCAAGCGUUGUCCGGAUUUAUUGGGCGUAAAGAGCGUGUAGGCGGCCAAGCAGGUCCGUUGUGAAAACUCGAGGCUCAACCUCGAGACGCCGAUGGAAACCGUCUGGCUAGAGUCCGGAAGAGGAGAGUGGAAUUCCUGGUGUAGCGGUGAAAUGCGCAGAUAUCAGGAAGAACACCCGUGGCUAAGGCGGCUCUCUAGUACGGUACUGACGCUGAGACGCGAAAGCGUGGGGAGCGAACAGG